rnacentral:Y_RNA from 1 species
GGCUGGUCCAAAGGUAGUGAGUUAUCUCAAUUGAUUGCUCACAGUAAGUUACAGAUCGAACUCCUUGUUCUACUCUUUCCCCCUUCUCACUACUGCACUUGACUAGUCUUAA